AUGGCGGCGGAGGAGGAGGCUGCCGCGCCCGCACCCAAGAGGAGCGCAUCCGAUGAAGCGGCCGGGCCCAGAUCACAGAAACAGGCACGUGAUAGCUUCUGCGACGGCAACGCCAUCAGCCAUGGCGAUCUCAUCAGCGACCUUCCCGACGCCAUCCUCGGCACCAUCAUCUCCUUGCUCCCCAUCAAGGACGGUGCCCGCAUGCAGGCCAUCGCCCGGCGAUGGUGUCCCCUAUGGCGCUCCUCGCCUCUCAACCUCGACGUCCCGUACCACCUCAUCGACGGGGUCGAGCGUCUCUCCGCCAUCUGCAGGAUCCUGUCGAACCACCCUGGCCCAGCAUGCCGCUUUGACGUCUGCCUCAUCAGCCUCCGCAGCGAAAAAAGGCACGACGAAGACACCGCGCAGAUCGAGGGCUGGUUCCAUUCCCGAGCCCUUGACAACCUUCAGGAGCUCCACAUCAGCUUCAUGCCUUGGAAUACACGCAAGGACUGCCCGCUGCCGUUGUCUGUGCUCCGCUCAGCAUCGACCCUGCUCUUGGUCAGCAUUGGAUCCUGCGAUUUCCCGAGGGAGAUGGCACCUUCGCUGAGUUUCCCCCUCCUCAAGCAGCUCAAGCUGUGGAGCGUUUCCAUCUCCGAGGAUGUCUUCUCGAGGGUGCUCUCUAGCUGCCAUGUCUUGGAGAGCUUACAUUUGUCGAGGAUUCUUGAGGGGUCUUGCCUUUGCAUUAGUCCACCAACUCUUAGGAUCAUCGUCACCCUUCGUUUGUUCGAAGGCAAAGGAAAAUUGGUCAUUAAGGAGGCCCCUCAUCUUGAAAGGCUGCUAUUGCAUUCUCCAGGCUUAGGCGUCGAGGCUAUCCAGGUAGUUAGGGCACCUAAACUGGAGAUACUGGGCCUUUUGUCUCCCUGCGUGUUACAAAUUCAGAUCAACAAUCUAGUCUUCCAGGGAUUAAUCCCAUCGAGCUUGGAAAACCCAAUACGCAGUGUAAAGGUUUUGGCUCUCCAGUUCUGUGGCCCUGAUUUGAACGCGGUUCUUGGAAUCCUGAGAUGCUUCCCCUACUUGGAAAAGGUCUAUGUCAUUUGGGACGAACGUGUAAAGGCAAAGAUGAAAAAUGUGUGUCAGUAUAACCCACUCGAUCCAAUCAAAUGCCUUGAGAGCCAUCUCAAAGUACUGGUGUUGAAGAAUUAUGAAGGUGGUGAGGAAGAGAUUGACUUUGUCAAGUUCUUUGUUUUGAAUGCUAAAGUGGUGAAGGAAAUCAAAUUUGCACUGUCUAAGAAGAUUCGCAUCAAUGAGAAAUGGAUGACCGAUCAACUCAGUCUACUAAAAGUGGAAAAUAGAUCUUCUCAAGAGGCUCAACUGGAAUUCAGAAGUGGUUAA
rnacentral:rRNA from 1 species